rnacentral:tRNA from 1 species
GCCCAGGUGGCGGAAUUGGUAGACGCGCUAGCUUCAGGUGCUAGUGUCCUCCGGGACGUGGGAGUUCAAGUCUCCCUCUGGGCACCA